UUGGGAUUAAAGGGCCUGGAACUUUUAGUUCCACCCUCUGACCUAUCUACAAGGGACAGUGAGGGACUGGAGGUUGGAUCAACUGCCAAUGGCCAAAGUCUCCCUAAACACCCGAAAGGACAGGGUUCAGAGAGCUUCCAGGUCUUGCAAACAUCUAAAUUGGAACCAUACUAUCUUCAUGACCCAGAUGCAAUCAAGGCACAAGGCACUAAAAACUAAGAGAGCUCCUCAUGGCCGAGCACCACACAAGUACAGGAGAGCACUGCAGCUGUGAGCUUGACCACUAACUCUAUCUGCCCACCUGUAAAAUGAAGAGAAGAAAAACUAUCUCAAAAGUGUAGGAGAAGCAAAUGAAAGAAAGGAUGCCUACAGGCCAGAGGGCUCCUGCCACCACCCACACCAUCCAGGAGAAACUGUUUCCUUUGGGACAGGUGAGCUCCUUCAUCUUUCUGACAGGAUGCAAGACAGAGCAGGGGUGAUACCGCUGCACCCUGAAGGGCCAAUGAGGAUCUCAUUUCCUCCUUCAACCUGACCUCUCCCUAUCCUUAUGAGAUGGGCCCCAACCUUCCUGCCUGCCUCUGCUUUACCAGCUCCAGAGCAACUUGACAUUCCUAGAGGAAGUCACACAGCUGAGCAACAAGAUCUCCCUGCAGGUUCAUGGUGUCAGAUCUCAACACUCUCCACCGACCAGCAUUUCUACGGCUUUUCUCCAACUUCUCAUUUCACACAGUCUCCUCCUUUCUUUUCAAACAUCUCUCUCUACUCAACACUUCCACCUGAGCUUACAUGUUGCCAAGUAAAGAAAUGAAUGAUU